rnacentral:rRNA from 1 species
AGAGUUUGAUUCCUGGCUCAGGAUGAACGCCUGGCGGCGUGCCUAAUACAUGCAAGUCGAACGGAGAGCAGCAAUGCUCUGAGUGGCGAACGGGUGAGUAACACGUUGUUAACCUGCCCUGAAGCGAGGGAUAACAGGCCGAAAGGCUUGCUAAUACCGCAUAGGCAGUAGAGGAAUAGCAGCUUUACUGUAAAGGAUAUCGUUCGAAAGAGCGGAUCCGCUUUGGGAGGGGCCUGCGGCCCAUCAGCUAGUUGGUAAGGUAACGGCUUACCAAGGCGAUGACGGGUAGGGGACCUGAGAGGGUGAUCCCCCACAAUGGAACUGAAACACGGUCCAUACACCUACGGGUGGCAGCAGUAGGGAAUAUUGCAUAAUGGGCGAAAGCCUGAUGCAGCAACGCCGCGUGUGCGAUGAAGGCCUUCGGGUUGUAAAGCACUUUUAGCAGGGAAGAGGAAGGACGGUACCUGCUGAAUAAGCCUCGGCUAACUACGUGCCAGCAGCCGCGGUAAACCGUAGGAGGCGAGCGUUAUCCGGAUUUACUGGGUGUAAAGCGCGUGCAGGCGGUUGGCUAAGUUGGGUGUGAAAGCUCCUGGCUCAACUAGGAGAGGUCGCUCAAGACUGGCCGACUGGAGAGCAGUAGAGGAAGGUGGAAUUCCGGGUGUAGUGGUGAAAUGCGUAGAUAUCCGGAGGAACACCAGUGGCGAAAGCGGCCUUCUGGACUGCAUCUGACGCUCAGACGCGAAAGCUAGGGGAGCAAACGGGAUUAGAGACCCCGGUAGUCCUAGCUGUAAACGAUGUGAACUUGGCGCUGGAUGGGUAAAACCGAUCAGUGCCGAAGCAAACGCGAUAAGUUCACCACCUGAGGACUACGGCCGCAAGGUUAAAACUCAAAUGAAUUGACGG